UACGUAGGGUGCAAGCGUUGUCCGGAAUUAUUGGGCGUAAAGAGCUCGUAGGCGGUUCGUCGCGUCGGCUGUGAAAACCCGGAGCUCAACUCCGGGCCUGCAGUCGAUACGGGCGGACUAGAGUUCGGCAGGGGAGACUGGAAUUCCUGGUGUAGGCGGUGAAAUGCGCAGAUAUCAGGAGGAACACCGGUGGCGAAGGCGGGUCUCUGGGCCGAUACUGACGCUGAGGAGCGAAAGCGUGGGGAGCGAACAGG
rnacentral:rRNA from 1 species